rnacentral:rRNA from 1 species
AACGAACGCUGGCGGCAGGCUUAACACAUGCAAGUCGAGCGCCCCGCAAGGGGAGCGGCAGACGGGAGAGUAACACAUGGGAACGUACCCUUCAGUUCGGAACAACCCAGGGAAACUUGGGCUAAUACCGAAUACGUCCGUAAGGAGAAAGAUUUAUCGCUGAAGGAUCGGCCCGCGUCUGAUUAGCUAGUUGGUGAGGUAACGGCUCACCAAGGCGACGAUCAGUAGCUGGUCUGAGAGGAUGAUCAGCCUCACUGGGACUGAGACACGGCCCAGACUCCUACGGGAGGCAGCAGUGGGGAAUAUUGGACAAUGGGCGCAAGCCUGAUCCAGCCAUGCCGCGUGGAUGAUGAAGGCCUUAGGGUUGUAAAGUCCUUUUAACGGGGAAGAUAAUGACGGUACCCGUAGAAUAAGCCCCGGCUAACUUCGUGCCAGCAGCCGCCGUAA